rnacentral:tRNA from 1 species
AGGCCCGUAGCUCAAAAGGUCAGAGCAGCGGACUCAUAAUCUGCGGGUUGAGGGUUCGAUUCCCUCCGGGCCCA